GGACCCAGUCAGCCCAGCCAGCAGGAGGCCAGGCUCCUGUCUACUGCCUAGCCUCAUGGCUCUGCACUUCCAGAACCCUUGUGCCCCAGCCUGUCCCUUCACUGCCACACAAAGCAUAGGGAUGA